UUAUCCCUGACUGCUCCAUUGCAGUGUUGGGUGUAGCUGCUAUUUGUAGCUUGGUUGCAAUACGUUAUCCUUCUUGAAGAUGGCUGGAUGCUUACAAUGUUGUUUGUCAUCCUUGGCUACUCUUGCUAGCUUAUGCCUGUGUCUAUGGGAAUGUACCAGUGGCUGCCAAUCCUUAUGCAGGGUGAUCUGUUGGCGUGCCUCUGAUCUGCAAUAGAGGAGCUUGGUGAAGCAUUUCGGGUGGCAUUUGUCAUCUCUGCUGAGUGAAUAUGGUUUGCUAGAGUGGUCGUGUUCCACUAAUACUGGCCUCUGAGCUGGACAGUGUGUGCGUUUGUUGGUUGGAAGCAAUGUUUUGUUGGCCAGCUGUUCAAGAGCUGCCACCCUUCUCCAGCCGUUUUCUGUGUUGAUGUCUGAGACUGUUGCCGGUUUUUGGGACUCCAGGUGGCCUGAUGCUGUCUGCCUGUUGAGGGGAUCAAUGAGGGUGAGGCUCUCUCCCCAUAGAUUUGAUCUCCCCCAAUUCCUGGAUGCAUAGUUUUCGCAAGAUUGGGGCUUGCUGUCUGAUUGCUUGGUAAAGGGAUUCAUUUGGGUGAGGCUCUCUCCCCACUUAACACCCUUGCACGUUGCUGUUCUAGAGCUGCUGUUUGCUGGUCAGAGAUCCGGUUGGGUGAGGCUCUCUCCCCAAUUGUUUGGUCCUCUUGCUGGCUGCUCUCCUAGAGCUGCUGGUUUGUGUGGCUGCUGGAGAUGACUUCCAGCCAGGAUUGCUGUUUUGUUUGUCCAGGCCUGCAGGUCCUCUGCAGAUUGCUUGUGAUGUUGGCCCUCUUGGGGCUGGUCUUGGUUACAAGGAUUGUUGUUUUGAUGCUGCCGGUUUUUGGGACUUUUCCUCCCUAACCGGUUCUCUAAUGGUUUGCUAGAGCUGCUGUGUUCUUCUCUGGCUUGUUUCUGUUUCUUGUCCUUUCGCUAGCUUUGGUUGGUGGAGGGUUGGUCUCAUUGGAUGUUGUCCUAUAUGGGUGAUAUAAUGACAGUGCCGUUUGCUGCUGCACCUCGUCUCAGCUGCUGCUGUAAUGUGCUGUAUGCUGGGUUGGAAAGAGCUUUGCUGCGGGUUUUUUGGGUCUCCUGACUGAAGUUUUCAUUGUAUGCUAGUUUGUUUUGCUUUCUGGCUUUGAUACAUGUUCAAGGGAGCCUGUUCCCUUUGUGAUCCAGGGAGUCUGUUCCCUUAGUUUUCAGAGUCUUACUUUUGGUUUUUACAAAGGAGUCUGUUCCCUUAGUUUUCAGAGUCUUACUUUUGGUUUGUACAAGGGAGUCUGUUCCUUUUGCCUUCUGUUCUGCAAGCUUGUCUUGCUUUUGAUUUGGUCAAGGGAUUUUGUUCCCUUUUCCUUGUAUUGCUGGUCUCCAGCUCUUUUUGAUCUAUACAAUACUUACAUUUGAUAAAAAAAAAAAAAAAAGAUUGAGAUCUGAUUUUGGAAAGCCGAAAUAGGUCUGAUAGGAGUGUGACACAAUGAAAAUCUGUCCCAAGGCACCAACACUAUUGAAAUGAGUAGAAUGAUGCCACGAAGCCAGUUAAUCUUCGAUAAGGCAAACUCAAUUCGUUCAAGAAUUGAAGAAUGCAAGAAUCACUCUGAUACAAUAAAACUAAAAAAUUCAGAAGUAAUAUUCAUCAAUGGCUCUGAAAUUUUGGUUAAAAUGAGUUUAAAUAGUUCUAGAAAAAUUAACCCUAAUGGACCCUAAUGAGUUUAAAUGGUCCUCUCAAAACUGACCCAAAAACCCUAAACUUGAUCCAAACAAGACUUGGAUUCUAGCUGAAAAAUAAAAUAUGAAUUAAGACCAAACAUGAAAGAAAAUAAUAAAAAUAAUUAAUAUGUCAUUGGAUUCUAGAUGAAUAAGGAAUUCUUAUAAGAAAAGGAUUCUAAAAUAUUAAUUAAUACAUGUUCUGACCUAUAUUGCAAGUUCUUCUCGAACUUUAAUCCACUUGAAACUUUACCCCAACAUAAACCAAUACCUUUGGGAUCUUCAGGUCAAGUUUCAGCUCGCUCCAAUGGUUGGAUUUGGAGUUAUACUCAAAAGCGUAAGAUAGGAUAAAAAAAUUUUACGAUAAAAUCCGAAUCUGACCUUACUUGGAUCGUAUCAAUUGGUCUGCUUAAUAGCCUAAGUGGUUAAAUACAUGUUUUGGUGUAGCAUUAUUAUUUUAACCAUUCAAUUUUCUCGAACUGUUAUGAUUGGUUGUACUUGUAGAAGGUCCAAAUUAUCAAAGUAUAAAUGAUUUUUAUGGUCAAACAACUCAGAAUAACAAUCGCAAUGACCCAAAAGGAGUAGGGAUGCUAAUGAGUAUUAGUGGGCGAGUUUCUAUUAUAUGCAUUGAUGCAAACCUCAUGUUCACGUGGUAGCAACCCACAAAUCAGAUUGAGAUCUGAUCCCCGGGAAAAGCUGGAAAUUAGUCUGAUAGAAGUGUGACACAUUGGAAAACCUGCCCCCAAAGGCACCAACCAUUAUUGGAUUGAGUAGAAUGACGCCCCCGAAGCCAGUUAAUCUUCGGAUAAGUCAGAUUCAGUUCGUUCAAGAACUGAAAAAUACAAGAAUCCCUCUCACACGUUAAAACUGAAAAAUUCAGAAGUCAUUAUCAUCAAAGCUGCCAAAAUUUUGGCUUACAUGAGUUUAAAUAGUUCUUGAAAAAUUAACCCUAAUGGACCCCUUAUGUGGACUUAUAUGAGGUCCACUCAAAACUGACCCAAAACCCUAAACUGAAAAGCCCAUAACUUAAUCCAAACAAGCCUUGGAUCCUAACUGAAAACAAAGUAUUAAGUAAGCCCAAACAAGCCUUAGGCUGUAGCUAACAAAAUAAAACAAUAAAAAUAAGUAAUUUGUCAUUAAAUACCACCAGCCCUUCUUUCCUUGUGUAGCUAGGAUGAAUAAGGAAUCCUUAUAAGAAAAGGAUUUUGAAACAUUAAUGAAUCUUUGCCACACUUGGAGAUUAUAUUGCAGCUCAUUAAAUAUCCUUGUGGAACUAGGAAAUUCCCAUAACCAGCUGCCACAUCCUUGUAGGAAAAGAAUCCUAACCAAAUAGGAAGUCCACAAGUCAAAUGGAAGUAAAUAACAAAAUUCAUACAGCCUCUGUUGACUAGUAUUGUGGUGCCUUUCGAAACUCCGAUUGACUUGAAAUUUUAACCCAUAGUAGGAAAACAUGUCUGGAGAGUCCACAUAAAAUUGUAGCUCGAUCCAACGGUCGGAUUGAGAAUUAUAACUGAUGCCGUAAACCUGGACUGUUGCGCUUUUUACGCCAAAAUCCGAAUCUAACCUUACUUGGGUCGUAUCACAAGGCUGAACCGUAUCAUUCCUUCCCUCUUCAAGAAGAUUCACCCUCGAAUCUUGAAUAGGAUUAGUAGCGACUUCAGUAGCCUCUUGUUUAAGCCUUCGGAAUUCCCUUAUUGCUAACACCUUUCUCCAACAACACUGUAUAGAGGUAGUGACUGACAAGAAUUUCAAAUAAGCACGCCGUACUAACCACUUGCGUACAUAAUUUUGAAUGAUAACCACAGCGGCUCUCCUCCGUCUUUCAUUCUUUUGGCAUUGUACCUCCUUUUCCCAUGAAGCUUGAAGAUUAUAGAAUAAUCUUCUACACUUAUCAACUUCUCGUUCUAAAACCCCCAAACCAUGGCUUAGUUUUUCGCAUCGUUGAUCAACAAUCCUUCUUUGUUCCUUCUCCCUUGGUGAAUACAUGACACAAAUAGGGAAAAAAAGAAUAAGAAGAAGACAAAGACAAGAAUAGAGUUUAAACAGGAAGAACACUGAUUUAGACUCAAGAUUGCGAAUCUGACUUUUGUUUGGACUAGAACUUAUCGAAAAAACAAACAAAUGUGAAAGUGAUGAAAAUGACUCAAACAACAGCCAUUUAUUGAAAUAUGAUGAUAGUAUAAUGGUAGGAAUGAAAUCAACAGAAACAAAACAAAUUUUGAAAGACAACACCAAACAAACCCGUUACAGCAAGACAAAACCCGAUUCUGGAACCUAAAGAAAACGCAAUCCAAAUGACCUCGAAUUUAAUAUAUAGUAUUAGUAUACCAAGAAAACAACAAAUCUCAUCUUAUAGGUCGUUCUAUUAUGUCUAGAUACCCAAACCCCGUGUAUGAUCAGUUUGCGGUAAAAUUGAACCUACAAUUAAAACCUCCAGAAGCUGAUAUUAAAACAAGCCCAAAUUUAAUAUAUGGUGCUAUCUCUUCUCUAAUACACAGAAUAUCAAGUUUCAAUUGAUUCUAAGGUGGUUUGCUUAUGGUUCACUAAGAGUAGUGUUUUUGCGGCAGAAUUGAACCUCGAAUUACAAUCUCAAGCAAACAAUAUCAGAAUAAGCCCAAAUUUUACAUAUGAUGCGAUAUCACCCCCCAUAGACUAAAUAUGAAGUUUCAAUUGAUUCUGAGGUGUUUUUCUUAUGGUUCUCCAAGAGUUGUGUUUCUGCGGCAAAAAAUUGAAUGAUCCUUCAAAUUUCAACUAAUCCCUCCCUCUCUUUCUUUUUUUCUUUUUAAUAUAUUGAUAUGAUUAGAGACAGUAACAAGAUGAAAUAUAACCCCUCUUUGUUUUUUGCUUAGAUGACACACACCCGAAGAACAAGAAGACGGACCCAAACAUUGAAAAACUUAAAGGAACACUAAAAAAAACGAAAAUAACAAAAGGAUAUGACCUUGUUUUGGAGCUUAGCUCUGAUGCCAACUGAUGCGAACCUCGUGAUCACGUAACCCACAAUCAAGAUUGAGAUCUGAUACCGGAAAGCCGAAAUAGGUCUGGUAGGAGUGUGACACAAUGGAAACCUGCCACAAGGCACCAACACUAUUGGAUUGAGUAGAAUGACACCAUGAAGCCAGUUAAUCUUCGAUAAAUCAGAUUCAGUUCGUUCAAGAACUGAAGAAUGCAAGAAUCACUCUCACACGUUAAAACUGAAAAAUUCAGAAGUCAUUAUCAUCAAAGCUGCCAAAAUUUUGGCUUACAUGAGUUUAAAUAGUUCUUGAAAAAUUAACCCUAAUAGACCCCUUAUGUGGACUUAUAUGAGGUCCACUCAAAACUGACCCAAAACUCUAAACUGAAAAGCCCAUAACUUAAUCCAAACAAGCCUUGGAUCCUAACUGAAAACAAAGUAUUAAGUAAGCCCAAACAAGCCUUGGGGCUGUAGCUAACAAAAUAAAAUAAUAAAAAUAAGUAAUUUGUCAUUAAAUACCACCAGCCCUUCUUUCCUUGUGUAGCUAGAAUGAGAGAGUUUCAAUUUUGACAGUGUCAUUCAUAAUAAGCAAACAUUUUUUCAGGCAACAAAAAGCAAAUGGUCAUAAGCUAAACUAAGCAAUUAUGCUUGGAGGACUCAUUUGUUAAUGAUUGGAGAUGAAAAUAUCGAUGUUGUGGAGCAGUAGGUUGCGGUUAGAUGGAGAUGUUAGCAAUUAAGUCAAGUACUCAGGAGAAGAUUGAAGCGGCUUGAAUAAGAUGGUAGAUGAAAGCAGUAUGUU
rnacentral:lncRNA from 1 species